rnacentral:rRNA from 1 species
GAUGAACGCUGGCGGCGUGCCUAAUACAUGCAAGUCGAGCGAACAGAUGAGGAGCUUGCUCCUCUGACGUUAGCGGCGGACGGGUGAGUAACACGUGGAUAACCUACCUAUAAGACUGGGAUAACUUCGGGAAACCGGAGCUAAUACCGGAUAAUAUAUUGAACCGCAUGGUUCAAUAGUGAAAGACGGUUUUGCUGUCACUUAUAGAUGGAUCCGCGCCGCAUUAGCUAGUUGGUAAGGUAACGGCUUACCAAGGCAACGAUGCGUAGCCGACCUGAGAGGGAGAUCGGCCACACUGGAAGUGAGACACGGUCCAGACUCCUAAGGGAGGCAGCAGUAGGGAAUCUUACGCAAUGGGCGAAAGCCUGACGGAGCAACGCCGCGUGAGUGAUGAAGGUCUUCGGAUCGUAAAACUCUGUUAUUAGGGAAGAACAAAUGUGUAAGUAACUAUGCACGUCUUGACGGUACCUAAUCAGAAAGCCACGGCUAACUACGUG